rnacentral:rRNA from 1 species
CGCUUCUUUUUCCACCGGAGCUUGCUCCACCGGAAAAAGAGGAGUGGCGAACGGGUGAGUAACACGUGGGUAACCUGCCCAUCAGAAGGGGAUAACACUUGGAAACAGGUGCUAAUACCGUAUAACAAUCAAAACCGCAUGGUUUUGAUUUGAAAGGCGCUUUCGGGUGUCGCUGAUGGAUGGACCCGCGGUGCAUUAGCUAGUUGGUGAGGUAACGGCUCACCAAGGCCACGAUGCAUAGCCGACCUGAGAGGGUGAUCGGCCACAUUGGGACUGAGACACGGCCCAAACUCCUACGGGAGGCAGCAGUAGGGAAUCUUCGGCAAUGGACGAAAGUCUGACCGAGCAACGCCGCGUGAGUGAAGAAGGUUUUCGGAUCGUAAAACUCUGUUGUUAGAGAAGAACAAGGAUGAGAGUAACUGUUCAUCCCUUGACGGUAUCUAACCAGAAAGCCACGGCUAACUACGUGCCAGCAGCCGCGGUAAUACGUAGGUGGCAAGCGUUGUCCGGAUUUAUUGGGCGUAAAGCGAGCGCAGGCGGUUUCUUAAGUCUGAUGUGAAAGCCCCCGGCUCAACCGGGGAGGGUCAUUGGAAACUGGGAGACUUGAGUGCAGAAGAGGAGAGUGGAAUUCCAUGUGUAGCGGUGAAAUGCGUAGAUAUAUGGAGGAACACCAGUGGCGAAGGCGGCUCUCUGGUCUGUAACUGACGCUGAGGCUCGAAAGCGUGGGGAGCAAACAGGAUUAGAUACCCUGGUAGU